CCCGUGCUCGUCAGCGCCUGCCCCAUUGCGCACGACUUCUCUGAUCCAGCGUGCAGCGAGGGCGUGGCCGCUGCCAGUCUCGCCGCCGCCCUGUCAUGGAUCGCCACGCCCAUCUCCUCUGAUCUGAACACGUCUCCUACAUCCCCUGUUUCGAUCAUCCCUUGCUUAACGAGAAAAAAAUCCAAUGCCUACACACCUGUAUUCUCCCUCUCAAACUAUACAGUUCCUACAAGCCAUGGCGACAUUCUCCUGCAACUAUUCGGACAAGGACGGGGAGGAGUGGACCAUGGCUGCACCGAGCUCCACCCACUAGCGGCUGGCCACCGUGGCUGCAACGAGGAUUCCCUCACCAAGCCUCGCCGACGUUCUGGAUCACCAAGGUACUUCUACUUAUUUGUCUCUACAAGAUUGAUGUGUAUGUUUUUUCUGCUUUUCCACUUAAUGGUGUUAACCUUCUUUUAGGUACUUCCUGCCCCAGGAUUUUCUUGGUGAGAAAACACAAAAAUAUAAAUAUGAAUAUUUGCCCAUGAAGCUGCUCUGGUUUGUCUUUUAGAGUUUACUCCCAUUUACUCGUGUCAUUCUACAAUAAUAACAGAAUUGAUAUCAAUUAGACUUCUUUGAGUUUAAUGAAAUUUAAUGGUUUGCCAUGGAAUAUGAAAUUUGAGAAUGACACCUGCUGAACUGAAAAUAAUCUAGCAAGCAAUAGUAUAUAAUGAAUAGUUAUUACCGUGUCGGCAUCACAUUGCUCUAUGGAUGAAUAACACGACAAUAAACUGGCAAAAUGGAAAGGCUUUGUUUAGUGUGGGUACCAAGCAGGAAAGUAGUUAACGGAGAUAGACUAUUUGAUAGUUGCACAACUGGAGUGAGAUACUAUUUGCUUUCUUGUAUAGUGAAGAUGGCCUAUUUUGUGGUGUAAUAUAACUAUGGUAGCUCUCUGGAGUGAGAAUGCCGAAGCCCUAAAAAAAGCCAUCAGCACGGAGUUCCUGCCAUUAAGGAAAAAAAACUAGCAAAGAAACAGCUCGGGAAAUCGUAAGUUUAUCUUGCUUUUUGAAUGUGCAGCCUGUAACCAGAGAAGCUUGUUCUAAUUAUAGUAUGCUUAUUUUCCCCGAGCUGUUUCUUUGCUAGCUAUUGUUCUCAAGCAACUAACAAACUAUGUAUAGAAGAAGUCUUAGUAGGGAGCUAUUUCGAAACAAGAUGAGGAAACCCUCAAGGAUUUAAACAGUAAAAUACGAACCUGCACAUGAUCAUAUAAUGUACGGAUCACAGGCUGGCCAAAGCCUUCUUUCAAGUCUCCUGACAUUGUCUGCUUAAUUUUCACUACCUGCAAGUACAACUAGCUAGAAAUUUGGGUAUGCUGCUAUGUGCCUUGAGUUUGUAAGACAAGUUCUCUUUGCUUCCGGGAGAGUUUGACCACUCAUAUCUCUCUUUUUCUUGCAACCUGCACUUAGUAGGUUGCUUUUUCUAUGAUAUAUAUUGUUUCAUUCUGGUUGCUGAAUAUGAUAGUCGUAGCCCGUCAGAAAAAUAUGACAGCCGAUUGAUUCUUUGUAAAAGGUAUAGUGACUGUUGAAAAGUUUACCUGAUCUUUCAUUUAUAUUUUUCAAAAGACAGUCCUAGAGAUGUUGCUUUAUUUGAAUUCUGCUUAUUGCAUUUAUUGGAGCACCUGCAAUGGGCAAAUUGAAUGUUUCAAUGUUCCUCUUGUUGUUGACCACACUAUAGUUGAUUAUAUCUCAUUGAGACCUGAAUCAUCUUCCAUGAUUAUUCAACACUGAAGCUGCUUGCAUUGAUCCACAAUAGAUCUUGACUUCGGUGAAAAAUGAGGUAUAUUGAGAUUAAUGACGCAUGGUUACAUACAGAUAGAAGAACCGGUUAUACUAUAUGUAUUUUUUGUCCUCAAGUAGCGCUUCUACUUACUCAUGGAGCAACUUGGUCCGCAGGUUCUGUACACACUAUUUUCAGAAGCUUGUGUGGCAGCAACAAUAUUCGUGCCACGACAUGUAGUCGAA
rnacentral:lncRNA from 1 species